rnacentral:rRNA from 1 species
UUAAAUUGAAGAGUUUGAUCAUGGCUCAGAUUGAACGCUGGCGGCAGGCCUAACACAUGCAAGUCGAACGGUAACAGGAAGAAGCUUGCUUCUUUGCUGACGAGUGGCGGACGGGUGAGUAAUGUCUGGGAAGCUGCCUGAUGGAGGGGGAUAACUACUGGAA